rnacentral:rRNA from 1 species
UACGUAGGGGGCAAGCGUUGUCCGGAAUCAUUGGGCGUAAAGCGCGUGUAGGCGGCUCGAUAAGUCUGCUGUGAAAGUCCAGGGCUCAACCCUGGGAUGCCGGUGGAUACUGUCGAGCUCGAGUCCGGAAGAGGCGAGUGGAAUUCCUGGUGUAGCGGUGAAAUGCGCAGAUAUCAGGAGGAACACCAAUGGCGAAGGCAGCUCGCUGGGACGGUACUGACGCUGAGGCGCGAAAGCGUGGGGAGCGAACAGG